GACGAACGCUGGCGGCGCGCCUAACACAUGCAAGUCGAACGGAGCUUGCUUGUCAGAUCCUUUCGGGGUGACGACUUGUAAGCUUAGUGGCGAACGGGUGAGUAACACGUGAGUAACCUGCCCCAGAGUGGGGGACAACAGUUGGAAACGACUGCUAAUACCGCAUAAGCCCACAGAACCGCAUGGUUCUGGGGGAAAAGAGCAAUUCGCUUUGGGAUGGACUCGCGUCCGAUUAGCUGGUUGGUGAGGUAACGGCCUACCAAGACGACGAUUAGUAGCCGGACUGAGAGGUUGAACGGCCACAUUGGGACUGAGAUACGGCCCAG
rnacentral:rRNA from 1 species